AUUGAACGCUGGCGGCAUGCCUUACACAUGCCAGUCGAACGGCAGCGCGGACUUCGGUCUGGCGGCGAGUGCGAACGGGUGAGUAAUACAUCGGAACGUACCCUGUUGUGGGGGAUAACUAGUCGAAAGAUUAGCUAAUACCGCAUACGACCUGAGGGUGAAAGUGGGGGACCGCAAGGCCUCACGCAGCAGGAGCGGCCGAUGUCUGAUUAGCUAGUUGGUGGGGUAAAGGCCCACCAAGGCGACGAUCAGUAGCUAGUCUGAGAGGACGAUCAGCCACACUGGGACUGAGACACGGCCCAGACUCCUACGGGAGGCAGCAGUGGGGAAUUUUGGACAAUGGGGGCAACCCUGAUCCAGCAAUGCCGCGUGUGUGAAGAAGGCCUUCGGGUUGUAAAGCACUUUUGUCCGGAAAGAAAUCGCGCUGGUUAAUACCUGGCGUGGAUGACGGUACCGGAAGAAUAAGCACCGGCUAACUACGUG
rnacentral:rRNA from 1 species